rnacentral:rRNA from 1 species
AACGAGAUCUGUAGCAAUACAGAUACUCGUGGCGAACGGGUGCGUAACACGUGGAUAACCUUCCUUCAGGUGGGGAAUAACCCAGUGAAAAUUGGGCUAAUACCGCAUAACAAGACGAGGACACAUGCUCUUGUCUUCAAAGGCGCAAGUUGCCAGAAGAGGGAUCCGCGGCCGAUUAGCUUGUUGGCGGGGUAACGGCCCACCAAGGCAAUGAUCGGUAGCCGGACUGAGAGGUUGGCCGGCCACACUGGAACUGAGACACGGUCCAGACUCCUACGGGAGGCAGCAGUGGGGAAUCUUGCGCAAUGGACGAAAGUCUGACGCAGCAACGCCGCGUGGGGGAUGAAGCUUCUCGGA